rnacentral:rRNA from 1 species
UUCUGGCUCAGGAUGAACGCUGGCGGCGUGCCUAAUACAUGCAAGUGAAACGGGUAUCUUCGGAUACCAGUCGCGGACGGGUGAGUAAUACAUAGGCAACCUGCCUUUAUGAGGGGGGAUAACCGAGGGAAACUUUGGCUAAUACCGCAUGAAGACUCUAAGGCAUCUUAGAGGGAUAAAAGUUGGGAAACAACGCAUGAAGAUGGGCUUAUGGCGCAUUAGCUAGUUGGUGAGAUAGAAGCCCACCAAGGUAAUGAUGCGUAGCCGACCUGAGAGGGUGAACGGCCACAUUGGGACUGAGACACGGCCCAAACUCCUACGGGAGGCAGCAGUAGGGAAUUUUCGGCAAUGGGGGGAACCCUGACCGAGCAACGCCGCGUGAAGGAAAAGAAGGUUUUCGGAUUGUAAACUUCUGUUAUAAGGGAAGAACGGAUUGGAUAGGGAAUGAUCUGAUAGUGACGGUACCUUAUUAGAAAGCCACGGCUAACUACGUGCCAGCAGCAGC